GACGAACGCUGGCGGCGUGCCUAACACAUGCAAGUCGAGCGAGUGAGUCUCCUUCGGGAGUGAAGCUAGCGGCGGACGGGUGAGUAACACGUGGGCAACCUGCCUCAUAGAGGGGAAUAGCCUUUCGAAAGGAAGAUUAAUACCGCAUAAGAUUGUAGCUUCGCAUGAAGUAGCAAUUAAAGGAGCAAUCCGCGAUGAGAUGGGCCCGCGGCGCAUUAGCUAGUUGGUGAGGUAACGGCUCACCAAGGCGACGAUGCGUAGCCGACCUGAGAGGGUGAUCGGCCACAUUGGGACUGAGACACGGCCCAGACUCCUACGGGAGGCAGCAGUGGGGAAUAUUGACAAUGGGGGAAACCCUGAUGCAGCAACGCCGCGUGAGUGAUGACGGCCUUCGGGUUGUAAAGCUCUGUCUUCAGGGACGAUAAUGACGGUACCUGAGGAGGAAGCCACGGCUAACUACGUGCCAGCAGCCGCCGUAA
rnacentral:rRNA from 1 species